UACAGAGGUCUCAACCGUUGUUCGGAUUCAUUGGGCGUAAAGGGUGCGUAGGCGGUCGGGUAAGUCGGAUGUGAAAUCUCAGGGCUCAACCCUGAAACUGCAUUCGAUACUGCUUGGCUAGGGUACUGGAGAGGAGACUGGAAUUUACGGUGUAGCAGUGAAAUGCGUAGAUAUUGUAAGGAAGACCAGUGGCGAAGGCGAGUCUCUGGACAGUUACCGACGCUGAGGCACGAAGGCCAGGGGAGCAAACGGG
rnacentral:rRNA from 1 species